AACGAACGCUGGCGGCAGGCCUAACACAUGCAAGUCGAACGCCGUAGCAAUACGGAGUGGCAGACGGGUGAGUAACGCGUGGGGAACAUACCCCUCGGUUCGGAAUAACUCAGGGAAACUUGAGCUAAUACCGGAUACGUCCGAGGUUUUAAUUCGGCCUUGGAGAAAGAUUUAUCGCCGGAGGAUUGGCCCGCGUCUGAUUAGCUUGUUGGUGAGGUAAUGGCUCACCAAGGCGACGAUCAGUAGCUGGUCUGAGAGGAUGAUCAGCCACAUUGGGACUGAGACACGGCCCAAA
rnacentral:rRNA from 1 species